rnacentral:rRNA from 1 species
GACGAACGCUGGCGGCGUGCCUAAUACAUGCAAGUCGAGCGGACAGAAGGGAGCUUGCUCCCGGAAGUUAGCGGCGGACGGGUGAGUAACACGUGGGCAACCUACCCUGUAGAUCGGGAUAACAUCGAGAAAUCGGUGCUAAUACCGGAUAAUCAUUUGAAGUGCAUGCUUCGAAUGUAAAAGAUGGCUCCGGCUAUCACUACGGGAUGGGCCCGCGGCGCAUUAGCUAGUUGGUAAGGUAAUGGCUUACCAAGGCAACGAUGCGUAGCCGACCUGAGAGGGGGAUCGGCCACACUGGGACUGAGACACGGCCCAGACUCCUACGGGAGGCAGCAGUAGGGAAUCUUCCGCAAUGGACGAAAGUCUGACGGAGCAACGCCGCGUGAGUGAAGAAGGUUUUCGGAUCGUAAAGCUCUGUUGUUAGGGAAGAACAAGUGCCGUUUGAAUAAGGCGGCACCUUGACGGUACCUAACCAGAAAGCCACGGCUAACUACGUGCCAGCCGCCGCGGUAAUAC